rnacentral:tRNA from 1 species
CCGGAGUGGCGGAAUGGCAGACGCGCUGGACUCAAAAUCCAGUGGCCUUCGGGCCGUGUGGGUUCAACUCCCACCUCCGG